GCAAUGAAUGAGACACUAAAUUGAAUAAACUAACACGUGCAGAGAGCCUGCCCAAAGUUUGGGGAAGGACAAGAACUAUGAUUGAAUUGAAUCACUGGAAUGGACUGUUUGGUUUGUUUUUUUUUAUACCACAGGAAGAAAAAGGCUGGUCUCGUUAUUGGUUCAGCAUACAGUAAGUGCACAAGAAGGAAAACAUGCAAGUUCUAAAGGGUAUCCCAACCUUCUCAAAUCUUGUGACUGAUCUGCAGAGAUCCAUGUAAAUUUCACAGCUGAAGCAAGAAACCAGUCUUCCCCCUUUAAAGCAGUGUUUCUCAACCUUGGCAACUUGAAGAUGUGUAGACUUCAACUCCCAGAAUUCCUCAGCCAGCUUGACUUCCACACAUCUUCAAGUUGCCAAGGUUGAGAAACACUGCUUUAAAGGCUUGUUUGCCUAACAAUUGCUGAGUUGGAAAUGACUAAACAUGUAAACAUUAGUACUAAUUAUACUUCUUCCACAAAUGUACAUUUAAGAGUCACAGAUUUGUUUAUCUACAGAAAUUCCACUGAACAACAUUUAUCAUAUGAAUUGAAUAUAGAUUCAUAUGAUAAAUUUUAUUGUAUUGUUCAGUAAAUUUUCUUUUUUAUACUCAUAGUUAUAACUGAAUAUUUACUGAAAUGUUUAACAGAACAUCUAACAGCAGUUUUCUUUUUUGAGAAAGAAAAGGCAGAAAAAUGUUCUAAUCUGCUUGAAAAAAAAAACAUUCAAAAGAAAAAGUAAACUGUACCACCUUUAGGAUCGAUAAGGUGUCUUAUAUCCAAGUACUUAAAAAGAUAAAUUCCCUCAAUUGUUUUCUUUUAUUUUUAUAUGCCACAGGGUGGCACUCAUGCUCUGCAUGUUUUUCUACCAAACAAACAAAUACAACCCAUGGAGAGGAAUUAAAAUUAUCUGUCUCUAACGCUGUAUUUUCUAAAUGUGUGUGUGCAUGUGUGUGCGCACGCAAAAUGUUUUCAGUCAGGUCUGCAAUCACAUUAGUUACAAAUGCUUGUUUUUUAAGAAUAGAAAGCUAGAAUCUCCAGAUACUCUAUUUAGUACAGUGCAAUCCAUAAUACACUUUAAUAAAUGCAUUUGUUUUCUGCAAGAA